AAAUGGAUCAAUUUUCCUAACGAAGCUUCGGGGUGUUUGAGGCACAUCAUUCUUCAGAUCGAGUCCUUAAAACCUCAACUUGGUGUUUAGUCGAUUGUUCAUACUCCUCGAUCAGGAAAUUCCUUUACUGACUCUCUUGCCAAACAAAAGAGUGAGACAGGAUCAUCCCUUCAUUCUUUUCUCUUAAUCUUUGGGUUUUGCUCCAUGAUGUUUCUCUUUUUUCUGUCCCUUCUGCAACCAUUGAAGCUGAUAUAGUUGACAUAACAGAACAGAUGAUAAAGAAACAUUACUAGAAGAUAACUUUGUUAACAUCAAUCAUCAUUAGCUGAAGAGAGAUACAAGUAUUUAUAUACAAUAUGCAUGACUAACACUUGUACAAAACAACGAAGUGUUUAACAAAGGAUUAAAGUUAACAUAUAAAGCUUACACGUUUAUAAACAUUAAGAGCAGCAUAGGUUUUGGUUUAUUAACAUAUAAAUAAUAUUAUUUAUUACAUUUGUUUUAUAUAUUUGUUAGUUUGAAUGGAUCAAUCAUUUCGUAUAUUGAUAAUAAUAUGAUUUGUUUUCUAUCAAUUUUUGUUGCAGAUAUAUGGGACGAAGGAUUUUAGAAAAUAGAGGAAAAUGAUCCAAUCUAGUUUUGCAUAGGCAUGCAUAAUAAUUUCCUUUUGGGGAAAAAGAAACGGGAAACAAGAAAAUAUGCCAGAGGAAACAUAUGUAAACUUUUGCAUGCUUGGAGUUUGAUUUUUUUUUUAUGUGUUUAAUAAAAUAUAUAUCUAAUAACCACGUGUUUUACAUGUGACGGUUUGAUGUGUAGAAGCAUGCAGGUGGCACAUGAUGGAAUAAAUCUUGUUAAUUGGCUGUUAAACUUUAGAAUUAGCUGAAAAGUUAGUUGCUUUCUCCUUUUCCUUUUCACUUCUGGAGAUAAAACAGAGUACAAAAGGGGGGCUUUUGUAAUAAUUUUUACUUAUGGAAUAAAU
rnacentral:lncRNA from 1 species